rnacentral:rRNA from 1 species
CAACGAGCUAGAGUUUGACUCCUGGCUCAGGACGAACGCUGGCGGCGUGCCUAACACAUGCAAGUCGAGCGGGGACAUACGACGGACAGGAAGUUUUCGGAUGGAACUGAAGACGUAUGUUCUAGCGGCGGACGGGUGAGUAACGCGUGAGCAACCUGUCCUUCACAGGGGGAUAACACAGCGAAAGUUGUACUAAUACCGCAUAAGACCACAACGGGACAUCCCGAAGGGGUCAAAGGAGCAAUCCGGUGAAGGGUGGGCUCGCGUCCGAUUAGAUAGUUGGUGAGGUAACGGCCCACCAAGUCGACGAUCGGUAGCCGACCUGAGAGGGUGAUCGGCCACAUUGGGACUGAGACACGGCCCAAACUCCUACGGGAGGCAGCAGUGGGGAAUAUUGGGCAAUGGGGGAAACCCUGACCCAGCAACGCCGCGUGAGGGAAGAAGGUUUUCGGAUCGUAAACCUCUGUCCUUGGUGAAGAGUGAGAGACGGUAGCCAAGGAGGAAGCCCCGGCUAACUACGUGCC